rnacentral:tRNA from 1 species
GGGUGUGGCUCAGCGGUAGAGCACUUGCCUAGCAUAUGUUAGGCCCUGGGUUCGAUCCUCAACACCACA